AUCAGGAAUCUUUACAAGAACCUGUCAAUGUAUUUCAAGUACGUUCUCGUGGAAUCCCUGGAGUCAUCGGGGCAAUAGAUGGGUGCCAUAUUGCCCAUUCAACAGCCUGUGGGAAACGCAUUUGAUUAUUAUAAUAGAAAAGGGUUUCAUUCGGUAAUUUUGCAAGGUGUAUGUAAUGAACGUGCUAUAUUUAUUGAUAUAUCA